AUGACCCAGUGGAUUCAGGAACGAGGCUUGCAGAAUGACCUAAACGUCAUCCUUUUCUCAGACCAUGGGAUGACUGACAUCUUCUGGAUGGAUAAAGUGAUUGAGUUGAGCAAAUACAUCAGCCUGGAUGACCUGCAGCAAGUGAAGGACCAAGGGCCCGUUGUGAGCCUGUGGCCCGUCCCAGAAAAACACUCUGAGGCAAGACACAACAUGGCGGAUGGAGGGCCCCUACCUUGUGCUUUGUCUCCUUCCUAGAGUUUUCAUAAUCAACUAUGGAAAAGGGUUAGGAGCAGGGAUCUUGGAGUCAGGUGACUGAGCUUGCUUCUCACUUACCAAGUGACCUCUAUAUAGUCAUUCAUUUUCUGUUUAACUCCAUAACGGCAUCUACCUGCACUGAAUUUAGUGAUAAUAUAAUUAGACUCUCUAGAAUGAUGCUGCCACUCCAAUCUGCCCCCGAUUCCUUCUCACCAGUAAGCUGGUGAUGCUAAUUAGAGAUCUGGGGUCAGCUCCUGACUUGGCAGCCACUCCUCUUAGCUUCUGAUCCUAGCUUGGUUAUCAGCUGUGUCCAAGGCCAACUCUGGCCCCUCUGCUGUCUGAAUGUGAACAUGGCAGUGAGGCCGAGCUGUCCUAAAAUCCACGGGAGUACAUAGAUGCAGGCUGAGAUCCCAGCAAAGACUGUGGAUGUGCCAAUCAGGAACACCACCAUCAAAUGAGAAUGAUCCCGAGAGGGUAUGGUUGAGUUCCCAGAGUGUGCAGAUGAGGAACAAAACUCCCUUUCAGUAACUCAGUACCCUGUGUUUACAUUCUCAAAAAAUAGUAAUCAGGGCUGACAGUGGAUAGCAAGAAUAAGGAGGAACAGGUGACACUCUCAGAUGACAAGUUAGUCCUCACGUUACUUCAUUAUCUCCCAGUGCAUGGAUGCUGCUUCUGUCCACUCCCAGGGGAGAUGACAUGGGCCAGGAAACAUCUGUCUUUUGAGGAGACAAUGCCAGCUACAGGAGAUCCAGGAGGAACCUGGGGACUGUUUCCUUCCUUCAUCCUUUUGCCACCAGAACAGUUGUCUAUAAAGAGUUGUCAUUAGGCAGAGGGUCCUGGUGGAAGCCAGUGUCUUGGUUCCAUAGGCAGUCUCCACCACCACCUUGCUUGCCCUCAUUUGACGCCUUCUGUUAACAAUCCUAUUGCUCUCAGUCUUCCCCAUUCACUGGGGGAAAUGUCACUUUUUUCCUCCAGAGGCAGGAAACGAAGUUUACAUAGUAUCCCGCCAACUCCCUAAACAUGAAAAUGGAAAGAAUAUGUUAGAUGCUGGCGGGUUCUUGGGAAGCAGUUCUGUCUUCCUGGCAAGGAAGAUCAUCUUUGUCCCCAACUUGGCACGUAGGCAUAUGACACUUCCAGAAUGCCUGGGUAUCAACACUCACGAGCUGGGAAGAGUGUCUUCUAGCAGGAUGUGCAUGCCGAGCACUGCCAGCAGUCACUAGCAGUUGGUAAUGGUUCAAAAGAGGGGGCUGUAUUUGGUGACAGUUGUGUCAUGUGAU
rnacentral:lncRNA from 1 species